UGACUAAGUUAAACGGCCGCGGUACCCUAACCGUGCAAAGGUAGCGCAAUCACUUGUUCUUUAAAUGAGGACUAGUAUGAACGGCAUCACGAGGGUUAUGCUGUCUCCCUAUUCUAUUCAGUGAAACUGAUCUCCCCGUGAAGAAGCGGGGAUAAAAAUAUAAGACGAGAAGACCCCAUGGAGCUUUAAACUCAGUACCAACUGCCCAAUUAAAAACCUUUUACCCCUGCAGCUAUGGUUACUAGUUUUCGGUUGGGGUGACCACGGAGUAAAAAUUAACCUCCACGAUGAAAGGAAUUAACAACCUAACCUAUGAGCUACAGCUCUAAGUAUCAAUAAAUUGACUAAUUGAUCCAAUUACUUGAUCAACGAACCUAGUUACCCUGGGGAUAACAGCGCAAUCCAUUUCAAGAGCUCAUAUCGACAAAUGGGUUUACGACCUCGAUGUUGGAUCAGGGUAUCCCAGUGGCGCAGCCGCUACUAACGGUU
rnacentral:rRNA from 1 species